GACGAACGCUGGCGGCGUGCUUAACACAUGCAAGUCGAACGGAAAGGCCCUGCUUUUGUGGGGUGCACGAGUGGCGAACGGGUGAGUAACACGUGAGUAACCUGCCCUUGACUUUGGGAUAACUUCAGGAAACUGGGGCUAAUACCGGAUAGGAGCUCCUGCUGCAUGGUGGGGAUUGGAAAGUUUCGGCGGUUGGGGAUGGACUCGCGGCUUAUCAGCUUGUUGGUGGGGUAGUGGCUUACCAAGGCUUUGACGGGUAGCCGGCCUGAGAGGGUGACCGGCCACAUUGGGACUGAGAUACGGCCCAGACUCCUACGGGAGGCAGCAGUGGGGAAUAUUGCACAAUGGGCGGAAGCCUGAUGCAGCAACGCCGCGUGCGGGAUGACGGCCUUCGGGUUGUAAACCGCUUUCGCCUGUGACGAAGCGUGAGUGACGGUAAUGGGUAAAGAAGCACCGGCUAACUACGUG
rnacentral:rRNA from 1 species